rnacentral:sRNA from 1 species
UAUUCUGCCCCAUGGGGAAGGAUGAGAAGCUUCGACUAAGGUUCGACUCGAGCGAAGCGAGAGAACGUUGCCGAAGGCAACGGCCCGAAGGGCGAGGAAAGAUAGUGACGAGUUAUCCUUCCCCCACCACCA